GGUCUUAGUGCUGAGAGAACUCUCCAAAAUACUUUCUGCAACCAAUCUUUCUAUCUUGGAGUCUGUUUCCAAGAGAACUGGUCCACAAGAGCUGGUUCAUCAUCUAUGAAGAAACUGAGACAGGAAAGGUCAAAGAAAAUUGCUCAAGCCUCCAAGUCACUUACUAAAUAGUAAGUGAUAAACUUAAAAUCCAGGACCAAGCAUUUGGACCUCCCGCACAGCCAGAAAGCUGCAUUCUCAAUGCUUCUUCCCAAUUUCUCAUUUGCGCUGGUCCCUGAGAUAAGAGGAGGAUGUUCAAGAGAAAGCCUUGCAAAAGGUCCCAGGAGCAGUGGGCUGUGAACUCCUCUCUUGGCAGCGAGUUAAAGGGCAGAGAAACAUCCAGAAUGGUGGAAGCCCUGAGGGCUAUCUGCAAGCUACCACACCGUCUCCUCUGCUAGACAGUCUGGUGUAAUGCUCCACAUUGAUGACUGCUUCAUCGGCCUGCAUCCUGGGUGAGAAGAUACAGGACAGAGUUCCCAGCUGACCUGCGAGGGCCACAUAUGAGCAAGAAAUAACCUGUUAUUUUAAACCAAUGAGAUUUUGGAAGGGGUUCUCCAGCAUAUUCUAGCAUUUCUGGAUUAAUACAAAUAGUAUUAUGGACAAUUUUUUAAUUCGAUUGUCUUCCUAAUAAUAGAAUUGGUAUCACUUCCAAUUGUUCAAGUAUAUAAAAUAGUGGCAAUAGACAAUCUUACAUUUAUAUCUUAUGUUUUUUGUACCUAAGGCAGAUUUUAUAUGGAGGAUGUAUAUAGAGUCACUCAGAUAUUAUCAUCCUCUUCAAAAGCUUUAACUCUUUAUACUAUUAGAAUUAGUCAUGAGGGGGCACCUGGGUGGCUCAGUGGUUCAGCAUCUGCCUUUGGCUCAGGGCGGGAUCGCUGAGGUCCUAGAUUGAGUCCCGCAACAGGAUUCCCAAAGGGAGCCUGCUUCUCUCCCUCUACCUUUGUCUCUGCCUCUCUGUGUGUCUCUCAUGAAUAAAUAAACAAAAUCUUAAAAAAAAAAAAAAGAAUUAGUCAUGAGGAUACACAUAGACUUAUCCUAAAGCCAAUAUUGGUUGAUCAAACGUGACCUAUCAACAAUUUAAUAUUUGCAGGAUCUGAUGAUUUAGAAAUAUGGACCAAUGUCUUUCAAUUUGUAGUUUCUGAUUAUUGAUUUUUUCCUAUGUUUUUAUGUGUGUGAGCUCUAUCUAUUCUGAAUUGCCUAUCCAUAUCUUCUGUCCAUAUGUCUAUUAUUUUGUUUUGUCAUCUAGAUUUUAGGAACUUUUAUAUAUUAGACAUCCUUAUGCUGAAUGUGUAAUGUAUGUUCCAAAUAUUUUCUCCUAGUCUAUAUAUUG